UUUAAAGGUAUUUUAAAUGAAAAAAAAAAAAUCAGAUCCAAAUUUGGAUCCGAGUCGGUGGGUGUAGAGCCCAUAAAAAUUUCGUGUUACCCGCCUCUUUCUGUGCUUCGUCGGUUCCUCGAUCUUUCCCCACUUUUCUUCGACUUCAGUGACUCGGAAUCCGAAUUAGGGUUUAGCUCGAAUUACUUGGAGACUGAAGAAUUCAAUUGCGGUGUUGGGCUAAUCUAUAAAUUAUCUGAAGAAUUUCGUUUUUUUUUUUUAAUCCAUGGCACACACCAGCGACGAUAUAAGUUCAAGUCCCUUACUAUAACUUUCUAAAGCGUUAAAUUUUUUUUUUCUUUUUUUUUUUCCAAUUUGUAUUGUUUUCUUCCUUUUUGGUUGGGGGAAGGGUUGACCUUAAUGUGUUGUUUUUUGCCCGCAAUUGUUUGUGCAGGUUGUAGGGGUUGAUAAUACUUUCAAAAGAAAGUUUGAUUGGGAAGAGUAUUUGGAACAAGCCAGGGAGUGUGAAAGACAGGAGGCGGACGCGCGGGUUAAAUCAAAAUUACUGGUUUUGUGGGCGUUAUACUCGUGUGAGUAUCAUGUUGGGAGUUUUUUGCUUCAAAGAACCCAAUGUAGUGAGUUCUAGACUGAUGGGUGAAGAAUUAUUGUUAUUGAUUAGUUGUGUCGUAGCGAGAGGUCCUCCAGUGCAAAAGAAGCCCUUGAAACAUAGGGAUUUUGAAGGGGAUCUUGAAUCUCGCUUUGGAAAAACUCAGGUUGUUACUCCAGUGGCACCUUUAAGUCAGUAGAUUAUGGAUUGGAAAGAGUAACAGUUGAGAUCCAAGACGAUACCUCUAGUAAAGGUGGC